CGGCCAGACCCCUACGGGAGGCAGCAGUGGGGGAUAUUGCACAAUGGGGGAAACCCUGAUGCAGCGACGCCGCGUGGGUGAAGAAGCGCCUCGGCGCGUAAAGCCCUGUCAGCAGGGAAGAAAAUGACGGUACCUGAAGAAGAAGCCCCGGCUAACUACGUGCCAGCAGCCGCGGUAAUACGUAGGGGGCAAGCGUUAUCCGGAUUUACUGGGUGUAAAGGGGGCGCAGACGGCGAUGCAAGCCAGGAGUGAAAGCCCGGGGCCCAACCCCGGGACUGCUCUUGGAACUGCGUGGCUAGAGUGCAGGAGGGGCAGGCGGAAUUCCUGGUGUAGCGGUGAAAUGCGUAGAUAUACGGAGGAACACCAGUGGCGAAGGCGGCCUGCUGGACAUUAACUGACGCUGAGGCGCGAAAGCGUGGGGAGCAAACAGGAUUAGAUACCCCAGUA
rnacentral:rRNA from 1 species